rnacentral:rRNA from 1 species
GACGAACGCUGGCGGCGUGCUUAACACAUGCAAGUCGAACGGAAAGGCCCUGCUUUUGUGGGGUGCUCGAGUGGCGAACGGGUGAGUAACACGUGAGUAACCCGCCCUUGACUUUGGGAUAACUUCAGGAAACUGGGGCUAAUACCGGAUAGGAGCUCCUGCUGCAUGGUGGGGGUUGGAAAGUUUCGGCGGUUGGGGAUGGACUCGCGGCUUAUCAGCUUGUUGGUGGGGUAGUGGCUUACCAAGGCUUUGACGGGUAGCCGGCCUGAGAGGGUGACCGGGCACCAUUGGAGUGGGCUUCGGCCCGGACCUCUACGGGGGGGAGGAGGUGGGGAGAUUGCCACAAUGGGCGAAGCCCGGUGGAGGAACCGCCGCGGACGGGUUGCGGCCUUCGGGGUUGAAAACCGCUUCCGCCUGUAACAAGGGUUGGGUACGGUAAUGGGUUAAGAAGCCACCGGCUAAUUCCUU